rnacentral:misc_RNA from 1 species
GCUCCGUAGGUGAACCUGCGGAGGGAUCAUUACAGAGUUCAUGCCCUAACGGGUAGAUCUCCCACCCUAUGUUAUCAUCACUUUGUUGCUUUGGCGGGCCGUCAGGCCUCGGCUUGGCUACCGGCUCUCGCUGGUAAGCGCCCGCCAGAGAACCCCAAACCCUGAAUAUCAGUGUCGUCUGAGUACUAUAUAAUAGUUAAAACUUUCAACAACGGAUCUCUUGGUUCUG